UCGUAACAAGGUUUCCGUAGGUGAACCUGCGGAAGGAUCAUUACCGAGUGCGGGCUGCCUCCGGGCGCCCAACCUCCCACCCGUGACUACCUAACACUGUUGCUUCGGCGGGGAGCCCUCUCGGGGGCGAGCCGCCGGGGACUACUGAACUUCAUGCCUGAGAGUGAUGCAGUCUGAGUCUGAAUAUAAAAUCAGUCAAAACUUUCAACAAUGGAUCUCUUGGUUCCGGCAUCGAUGAAGAACGCAGCGAACUGCGAUAAGUAAUGUGAAUUGCAGAAUUCAGUGAAUCAUCGAGUCUUUGAACGCACAUUGCGCCCCCUGGCAUUCCGGGGGGCAUGCCUGUCCGAGCGUCAUUGCUGCCCAUCAAGCCCGGCUUGUGUGUUGGGUCGUCGUCCCCCCCGGGGGACGGGCCCGAAAGGCAGCGGCGGCACCGUGUCCGGUCCUCGAGCGUAUGGGGCUUUGUCACCCGCUCGAUUAGGGCCGGCCGGGCGCCAGCCGACGUCUCCAACCAUUUUCUUCAGGUUGACCUCGGAUCAGGUAGGGAUACCCGCUGAACUUAAGCAUAUCAAUAA
rnacentral:misc_RNA from 1 species